GUUCAAUGGCCGCGGUAUCUUGACCGUGCAAAGGUAGCAUAAUCACUUGCCCCUUAAUUAGGGGCUGGCAUGAAAGGACACACGAAAGCUUCCCUGUCUCACAAUAAUAAAUAAAAAUUAAUCUUUAAGUGAAAAAGCUUAAAUAAAAUUGCAGGACAAGAAGACCCCGUUGAGCUUUAUUCUCUAUAGACCAAUCUAAAUAUUUAUUAUAUCAUAAACCUAAAAAAGAAUUUAGUUGGGGUGACUAAGGAACAUCAUAAACUUCCUCUAUCUAUUUAGGGCUAUUCCCCAAAAAAAUUGACCCACAAACCGUGAUCAAAAAAAUAAGCUACCACAGGGAUAACAGGCUAAUCUUUCUUAAGAGCCCAAAUUGUCAGAAAGGAUUGGCACCUCGAUGUUGGCUUAGGGGCCCCUAAUGGUGCAGAAGCCAUAAAAGGUAGGUUUGUUCAACCUUUAAAACCCUAC
rnacentral:rRNA from 1 species